rnacentral:rRNA from 1 species
AAAUGCUGUUUUUCCACCCUGAACGUGCACGAUCUCGUCUGAUCUCGGAAGCUAAGCAGGGUCGGGCCUGGUUAGUACUUGGAUGAAAUGCUGUUUUUU